UACAGAGGGUGCGAGCGUUAAUCGGAAUAAUUGGGCGUAAAGAGUGCGUAGGUGGUAUCUUAAGUGGUAUGUGAAAGACCGGGGCUUAACCUUGGGGUGUCAUAUCAUACUGGGAUGCUAGAGGACAGUAGAGGAAGGUGGAAUUUCCGGUGUAGCGGUGAAAUGCGUAGAUAUCGGGAGGAACAUCAGUGGCGAAGGCGACCUUCUGGGCUGUACCUGACACUGAGGCACGAAAGCAUGGGGAGCGAACAGG
rnacentral:rRNA from 1 species